rnacentral:lncRNA from 1 species
ACAAACAAUCAUCAUUUCAUAUUAUAUCAUGCUUCGCCCCCACUCCCCUCCCCUUCAAAGCCGCCAUGAUUAUGCUCACAAGAAAUCAAACCCAUCAUCAUUAUCUCCCACCCAAAACCACUCAUUCACACCCUUUUUCAACGCUGCAGAUGAAGAAGAAUUCAAGACUAUCGCAGUCGUGUUUUCGUUUUCUUCGUGAAAAGCUUUGAAACUUUAUUUCUUCUCUUCAUGGGGGAAUUGAGGCAUCACGGUCCGAUCAUAUUAUUGUAACUCUUUUCUUGAUUUCUUCUAGUUUCUUUUGAGAAAAUUUAUAAUUCUUAAUUUUAGGGUUAUUAUAUAAGUGCUAGCUAGCUACUAUAUAUAUUUGCAGUGUGGUUUGCGUUUUGUUGUUUUGAGACGAGGCAACAGUUGGACUCUUACUCGAUCGAGAUUUCAAUAACACCAGAUUGCCCCGUUUGGAAAAUUUUGGAAUCAGGUUAAGUUUUACAGAUCUAUAUAUAGUUGUGUGGAUAUUGAUGAAAUUAGGGUUUUUGAGUUUCUGAUCUGGAGUUGUUUUUCUUUCUUGGAGUGUUUUAGAUCGAUUAUUACAUAUGUGCUUUAUUUAACUAGUUCUUUGAAUUACAGAUUCAUAUAUCAAAUUUCAAUAUCAUAUAUAUGACGAUGAAUCCAACUCUUUCAAACGAUGAAGAUGUAUAAAUUAAUUAAGAAGGUGAGAACCAUUAACUUUUCUCCUAAUUGCAUGGUAAGUUGUGUUGUGAGUCGACGAUUUUAUGACUAAAAGGUUAUGAAUUCGAGUUUCCGAUAUAUAUAUAUAGAUAUCACAUAGUUAAAUAAUUAAUAAAAAUAUUCAAUCAUACAAAAUAAACUCCUACUUAUAUCUCUUGCUAUGAAUUAAUUUGUGGAUUCUAGGAAGUUAUGUGAGGUGGAUAAAAUUGGUUCGAGCCUUGGUAAUAAAUUGGAGCUGGGUAAUGAGUGAUAACUUUGAAAUACCUGGGUCAGAUAGGCUUUUGUAGCUUAAUUUGGACCUCUGAUCUACUUAUUAAAGGAAAAUUUAAACAUUUUAUAUUAACUAAGUUACGCUUCGUUAUUAAUAUAAUUGUAUUUUCUUUCGUGUAGAAGUUUACAAAUUUUAUACUCCAUUUUAUAGUAUAUUUUUGUCCCCUCAUUUUAGUGCACAAUUAGUUCGUCUCUCCAAGCCCCUCUAAUUUAACAAAUUAUACCAUACGACUCAUAUAUUCGCUUGGGUGACCCUAAUUUGGCUCAUUGGCAUAAGGAAACCGCAGCCUAAAUUAAAUAUGGCUAAUUUAUAAUUAUGCUUGUAUGAAGGUGCAAUAUAUAUAUAUAUAUAAAACAAACACUAAAGGGAUGAGGGGUUAGGCAAAGAGAUGAGCAAAAUAUUCGAAAUUUGAAUAUCCGAUUCGAAUCAAACCGGAAAUUAAAAUAUGGUUCGAAUUUUUGGAUCGGAUCGGAUUGAAUUUUAAGCAAAUUUCAGAUUUUCGGAUUGGAUCGGAUUGACACUUUAAAAAUUCGAAAUCCGAAUUAUAUUUAUAAUAUAAAUAAUAUUAUAUAUAUAUAAUAAUAAUUAAUUUUUAAAUAGUUAAAUAUUUCUAAAUUCUAACCCUAUACUCUAAUUUUGGUUGAUUACAAUUAAUGGCUUAUUAAUUAGGACCUUGAUUCGACUGUAAUUAUCUAAUUGGUUAGGUUGAUAUCUAUUUCGGCUUUUUCGAAUUUUUUCGGUUAUUGAAUUUUUUUUCACAUUUCGAAUUUUUUUUCAAGUUUUAGAUUUUUCGGUUCGAAUCGGAUUUUAUCCGAAAUUUUUCAGAUUCGGACCUUCGGAUAAUAUGGUUCGGAUCAGCUUGAAUUUUAGAAAUUUUUUGGAUUUUUUUGAUCGGAUCGGAAUAGGCAAAAAUUCGAUCUGAAAUUCUAAUGCUCGCCUCUAGUUAGGUAGACACCCGGCCUGUAAAUAAACAUCAACAAGUAUCUCAUACACAACGCUGCCCAAAAGUGAUAACACCCAUCAAAAUCAACAAGGAAAAACAUAAAUCAAAUGGACAAAAGACAUACAUAUAGAUGUAGCCCAAAAGUAAUUAUAUCUAGAGGACAAAGAAAAAACAUCAUCAAAAAGAAAAUAAACCAAAACAAAAUAAACCAAAACAAACAUCAUCAAGAGUCAGCUCACCAUAGUGGAGCGAAGGGUACUCCUCAUAGGGGGAGCUGGUGGCAUGAAGUCAACAAAUUAAGGGAGUACAUCCUCGCAAAUUAAUGAGUAUCAGUGAGUUUCCCGCUGUAACAAGUAGACGAAGAUGAUGAGUAAUCUGUCAAAUCACAUAAGAAGACACGAAAAGGAAUAAUUUUGUACUUACGACUAUUCAUCUUCGUCUAACAGAACCACAUAAUCAAACAAUGCAAUGUUGAAACCAUUAAGUUUAUAUAUAGAUGAUUCUAUAUGGAAUUCCUGGAAAUAACAAGAGAAGUAAAUUUGAGGUCUAAAAACAUAUUUUAGGGUCUAUUUACACAUAAUCAUAUACAAUUAAAUUCUUAAAUUUUAUUCUCGGUUGUAUAUUAUAAACACUUUAGCAUUCCAUCAUUCAACUCAUGGACUUUCACCCAAAUUGCAAGAGGUCAUGGGUUCAAUCCUUUUUACGUGCGGUGUAGUAUAUUUUUCAUAUCUGUAUGGUGUUGAGAAUGAGAUCCUCAUAUAUGAUGAGAUCUUAAAUUAAUUUGUAAGUGUUGAUUUAAUGUAUCCUAUAACUGAUAUUUAUUUGGAUGAGAAUUUUUUUUACCUGAACUCGAAUUUCGGAGGGAGUGAAAAUUCCACUAAUUUGGGCAUUGAUUAUAAUGAAGCAAAAAAAGUGAAAAAUAUAUAAUGAAGAGUGAUGAUAAACAGCCACAUUGUGACCAUCCAAAAAUUACUUAAAUAGAAAAUAAAAAAAUAUUUGACUUAUUUUUAAAAAUAAAAAUAAGAUUUAGUUAUUUUGUAUUUUUUAUAUUGUAGUAUUUUUUUAUAAUUUUUUUAUUUUUAUUAAAAAUAUAAAAUAAUAAUUAAAAAUAAGUACAAUAUAGAAAAUACAAUAAAAUAACUAAAUCCUAUUUUUAUUUUAAAAAAUUAAAUAAAUAAAAAAUUUAUCCAUUAAACUAAUUUGUGGGUAAUCACAAUAUAGUUGAAUAGAGUAAACUAGAUUAUUAGCGUGGAUAAAUAUGUGUUACUAAUAUUGGUUGGUUGUUUGCUAUUAUGGUUAAUUAAUCAUGAUUUUUGUUUGAUAUCCAUAUUUCUAGAUUAGAUAAGCUUAAAAAUGGACACGAUUGCAGGGCUGUAUUAAUUAUCCUGCGUAAUCCGAGAGGGGAGGCGGUAUUUAUUAUCCUACGUAAUCCAGAUUUUUAGCUCAGGACCUUCACAUAUCGCAGGGCCAUCCGCAUAAGUGUUAUAGAAUACCAAACUCUUUACUACUCUAUAUUAACUUAACUAAUAUGGUGUAAAAUUCAAAACCAAACACGCCCCUUAUUGUAUAAUGAAUGCCAAAGUAAGAGAAACAUUACCACCAAUUUGGAAUUAAAACAUUGAAUUAGUUUGUCCUCAAAGGGACACUAAGCGGUGCGGACUCCUGUCUACGAACAGUGAGGUCCGGAUAUCAAACCCCAUCUCUCCCUCUCCCCCAAAGUCAAAAAAAAAAAAGAAAAAAAGAGAGAGAAGAAGAAGAAGAGAGACAAAACAUUGAAUUAAUUUCCUUACAAAACAUUGAAUUCAUCAAUUACUAAUGUGACAUGGUUUCUGCAAGCAAAAAAAAAUGCAUCAUCAUUAUGUACUUACAAAUUCACAUAUAUAUCUACACAAAUUGUUGUAAAAGUCAACUAAUUCUUAAAAUAGCAUGAAAAUACAAUGGUACGACGACAGGUAUGUCGAGCCUCCCAUUCUUGAUAGAAUAAUAAAAAAAUCACCAGAAAUUUUUGUAUCUCUGCACACUUUGUAACAAAGAGAGAAAAAUGGACGUUUUGUUUGAUAAAAUUGAUUGACAUUUGUGAAUGGGACAAUAAAAUCUGGCUCUUGUUUGUUUGAAAGCCAUUUUCUUUGAAUACCAAUUAAAUGUGGACUUCUUUGCUUUUAUGUCUAUCCAAUUUCUGGAAUUGAUAAAGGUGUGACUGACUAUCGAUUUCGUGAAAAAUGUCUUGUUGUUUGGAUGUUUUUCAGAGAAUAUAUAAAUCAUAAUUUGACAAGACGACUCUCAUACAAAGUUGUCUUAAGAAAAAAGUCAUACACUCCCUCCCAUUUUAUAUAUAAGAGCAUCCGUAAUGGGGUUCCUUGAUAGCCUACUUGAUAGUGUUUGUGUUAUUGAGUAGAUAGUGCUGCAUUGUAGUUCCUUGAUAGCCUACUUGAUAAAAUUAGUUUUGAUUUUAUGUUUUUCAUUUAAAUUUUAUUGCAUAAUUUAAAUAACACAAUUUAUUUCAAAUUUAAAUUGCAUUAAUUAUAAAAUCCUAAAUAUUACAUAAAACUUAAAUAAAAUAAAAACAAUUCAUAAAAAUUAACUACUCUGGUGACGACAUUUUUGGAAGAAAAAUUGUAGGAGGAACGAAUAUGAUAUUUUCACUACAAAAAAACGCUCAUUUUAGCUACGGAAUUAGCUACGGAUUUAUUUCCGUAGCUAUUCUGUGACGGAAUCGCUACGGAUUCGUGACGGAUAUAUUUUGUUAAAUUUUCCAACGGAUUUGACAACGGAUUUCCGUAGCAAUUCUUUCGCUACGGAUAUAAUCUGUCACUAAAGUUUAAAAAAAUAGUAAUUUUAUUAAAAAUUCUUAGCUACGGAAUAACCGUAGCUAAAGCCGUAGCUAAACUGAAAUUUUAUCCUUAGCUACGGAUUCUAUCCGUAGCAAAAUCAGCGUGACUUAUUAGCUACGGAAUUUCCGUAGCUAAAUCCAAAUAUUUUCAAAUCUAACGUCAAGCUUUUUCGCCCAAUUAAAACCUAGUUUUUUCUCACUAUUCCAACCGCGACUGGUCUUCCAUUUCUCCCACCG